GGAGAUGUGACUCAGAGGUAGAGCACCUGUCUAGCAAACAAGAGUCCCUGUGUUCAAAACCCAGUACUUCCA
rnacentral:tRNA from 1 species